rnacentral:rRNA from 1 species
CCUACGGGUGGCAGCAGUGAGGAAUAUUGGUCAAUGGGCGCGAGCCUGAACCAGCCAAGUAGCGUGAAGGAUGACUGCCCUACGGGUUGUAAACUUCUUUUAUAAGGGAGUAAAGUGCGGCACGGGUGCCUUUUUGUGUGUACUUUAUGAAUAAGCAUCGGCUAACUCCGUGCCAGCAGCCGCGGUAAUACGGAGGAUCCGAGCGUUAUCCGGAUUUAUUGGGUUUAAGGGGAGCGUAGAGGGGUUGCUAAGUCAGUGGGGAAAGUUUGCGGCUCAACCGCAAAAUUGCCAUUGAGACUGGCAGGCUUGAGUACAGUUGAGGUAGGCGGAAUGCGUGGUGUAGCGGUGAAAUGCUUAGAUAUCACGAAGAACUCCGAUCGCGAAGGCAGCUUACUAACCUGCCACUGACAUUGAUGCACGAAAGUGUGGGUAUCAAACAGGAUUAGAUACCCUGGUAGUC